GAUAAUUCAAACGAACUGGAGAGAGCUUAUUUUUCAGCACGCCUAACAUUUGUCGUCAUGUCCGGAAGGAGAUGUAUUCCUGCACCAUCGUCAAUUCCAAAACGGAGUAGAACUGAUGCGACAUCUAUUCCUAAACCGUCUGUUUGUCAAAAACCGUCUUUAAGACCAUCGAAAAUUGGUAUUGCUCGAGGAAAAGAUCAUGGAGUCCAUCCGCCGAGAGCAGUUGCGGCAAUUGUCCAACCACGAGCGGUUUGUCCAACGAGGUUCGAGAACAAACUGGAUACCACUUUUAAUGGUACUGUGCCUACAUUACCCUCAAAACCAACGUUUAAAAGUAAAGGUGCCGUUAUUUCAAAGACAAGAAAAACCCCUGAUAUGGUUUAUAAGACUCCAACUGAAGCUAGGCAGCAACUGACCAAAUUGCAGAAUGAAAAUGAAAUGUAUAAAGAAGAACUGAGAAAGGCAAAGGAAAAUAUACUUAAAUGUAACGAAAAGUGUGCAGAACUUCAGGAACAGCUUGAAAAUAAAAGAUUAGAGCAUUUAGCAACAAUAGAUGUUAUUGGUUCCAAGCUGAGAAGUACAGAAACCGAAAACAAGGAAUGUCUGAAACGAAUUGAUUCAUACACUGAGAAGAUAAAUUCAUUUCACAUUCAUCCAGUUACUCUCCAACCCCUGUUAUCACCUGCUGAAGAGGAAGAACUUAAACAGAAACGACAGGAAGCCAGGCGUAAGGCUGAAGAUUUUAUUGUGGAAAGCGAAAGAGAAAGUCAAUUAGACAGUGAUGAUGAUAAUAAUAAUGCAAGUAUAACUGCUUAACACGUUCAAUUUCUAAAAUGUGCUAUAAUAUGAGGUCAUCAGGAUUGCUGUGACAUGCAGGUUCUUCUGUUGUUGGACACGAUAAACGUAAAGCCCCUCUAUCCUGCAGAUGAAGCACAGUAGUCUGAGAAUAUGUUUUGUACUUGAUUAUAUAUGUGAACAAAUGCUAGGAUUUAUGUAAUAUUUAUCAUGUAUAUACGAUUUUCUUACACUACCAUGAUUGGUCCUGUGUGCUACCAUAUAUAUCUGUUCAACACAUGUAUACGUUGACAAUGCUUCUUUUAUGUGGCCGUUUAUUUGACUGGUAAAAAAAAAUUUUUUUUUACUUUUCUCAAGAAGCCCACAACAGAGAUAACAUGGAUCUUGCAAGAAGUUUAUAUUACAAUUGUAUUUUCUGAAUUAGGUUAUACUGCUGGUUUCCCCUAAUAUGAAUUUAUUUCACUUUAUUUACGUCAUAACAGUUGUUUGUGUAGAGUGAAUGAAAAUAAUAUUUUUUGUACUAAGACAUUUUAUCAAUGUGUAUAUAUUUAUGUAGAAUUAAUAAACAUGAUUGUUACCAA